AUUGUUCCAGCCGCCAACAACUCUGCCAGUACUGUCGACCGCUGCCCAUCACCCAUCGCCCACCGCUGCCCAUCGCCCAUCGCCGAUCGCUGACAACACUGCCGGCGCCGCUGCUCGCCUCUCCGACCGCCGUAGCCUGCUCUGCCGAACCCACUGCCCAUCGCCUGCUCUACCGCCGCCGUUGCUUGCUUGGCCGACCGCUGUUUCCUUCUCUGCCGAACCCACCGUCGUUGCCGUUGCUUUCUUCGCCUACCGCCGCCGCUUCCCCCACCGUGCAGCACUGGUAGUAGUUGGAUAUGCAUCACUUCCACUAUCCACUCCUGCCUCCUGCUCAGUAAGCUUCUUUUCUUCAGGCUCAAAUAUGAGAUCUCCUUACCAGUUAUGAAGGAGUUAAUUCCUCAUUAUCUCCAAGACAGUGGGAAGGUUAAAGAUGUUUUUCUGCCAUGGUAUAAUGCAUAUAGGUUCCUUGUUCAGAAUGUAAAAAGAUUUGAGGUUGAUGGGCUUGGGGCAUUUACUCCUUUUGAUAAAAAAAAACUCUUCAAUCUUCUUUAAAUGUCCUUGAUCAAUGGAUCAACUCAGCAACUAAAAGUUUAGUACAUUUUGUUCGACAACAGAUGGCUGCAUACAGAUUGUAUACGGUGCUCUUGACUUCAUUUGGUGGAUACAAGUGCUCUUGACUUCAUGCAAAGCAAUGGCUCCAUUCACACCUUUCUUUACUGAGGUUCUAUAUCUUAAAGGGUGAUCAUUGAAUUAUUAUAACUGAAUAUUCUGUUUCUUAUAACUUUUUGUAGAGGUUCCUUGGGAGGCUUGUCAAGAUUUGACCCUCAUCAUCUUAAUAAUAGCUGGCGUGGCAUCUCUGGGACUUGGAAUAGAAACAGAAUACGUAGAAGCAGAUGAUCAAGACUAUGUUAAUGAGACCUCUCCCACACCAGUGCUCCCACUUGGUUCAUCUACAAAUGGCCAAAUACAUUCACCCUGCUGCUAAGGAAAAGGAUUGGCAUAUAGCUUUACAAACAAAUACUGCUAGUUCUUUUGACCGUGCUUUGAUGUCUAAUGGACCGAUACUACAUAAGUCUUAGCUGAAGCUCCAGAUUAUGAAAUCUAGUAGAUUAUGUAUUUUAAUGUAUUUGAUAUCAUUUCUAACGAUGUUAGACUUUACAAUGCAAUACCUUUGUUAUUGUUUUUGAGUUUGAAUUUCUUAAUAUAAUAUAUUUUGCGAUUA